GAAACAUCUUCGGGUUGUGAGGUUAAGCGACUAAGCGUACACGGUGGAUGCCCUGGCAGUCAGAGGCGAUGAAGGACGUGCUAAUCUGCGAUAAGCGUCGGUAAGGUGAUAUGAACCGUUAUAACCGGCGAUUUCCGAAUGGGGAAACCCAGUGUGUUUCGACACACUAUCAUUAACUGAAUCCAUAGGUUAAUGAGGCGAACCGGGGGAACUGAAACAUCUAAGUACCCCGAGGAAAAGAAAUCAACCGAGAUUCCCCCAGUAGCGGCGAGCGAACGGGGAGCAGCCCAGAGCCUGAAUCAGUGUGUGUGUUAGUGGAAGCGUCUGGAAAGGCGCGCGAUACAGGGUGACAGCCCCGUACACAAAAAUGCACAUAUUGUGAGCUCGAUGAGUAGGGCGGGACACGUGGUAUCCUGUCUGAAUAUGGGGGGACCAUCCUCCAAGGCUAAAUACUCCUGACUGACCGAUAGUGAACCAGUACCGUGAGGGAAAGGCGAAAAGAACCCCGGCGAGGGGAGUGAAAAAGAACCUGAAACCGUGUACGUACAAGCAGUGGGAGCCUCUUUAUGGGGUGACUGCGUACCUUUUGUAUAAUGGGUCAGCGACUUAUAUUCUGUAGCAAGGUUAACCGAAUAGGGGAGCCGAAGGGAAACCGAGUCUUAACUGGGCGUUAAGUUGCAGGGUAUAGACCCGAAACCCGGUGAUCUAGCCAUGGGCAGGUUGAAGGUUGGGUAACACUAACUGGAGGACCGAACCGACUAAUGUUGAAAAAUUAGCGGAUGACUUGUGGCUGGGGGUGAAAGGCCAAUCAAACCGGGAGAUAGCUGGUUCUCCCCGAAAGCUAUUUAGGUAGCGCCUCGUGAAUUCAUCUCCGGGGGUAGAGCACUGUUUCGGCAAGGGGGUCAUCCCGACUUACCAACCCGAUGCAAACUGCGAAUACCGGAGAAUGUUAUCACGGGAGACACACGGCGGGUGCUAACGUCCGUCGUGAAGAGGGAAACAACCCAGACCGCCAGCUAAGGUCCCAAAGUCAUGGUUAAGUGGGAAACGAUGUGGGAAGGCCCAGACAGCCAGGAUGUUGGCUUAGAAGCAGCCAUCAUUUAAAGAAAGCGUAAUAGCUCACUGGUCGAGUCGGCCUGCGCGGAAGAUGUAACGGGGCUAAACCAUGCACCGAAGCUGCGGCAGCGACACUAUGUGUUGUUGGGUAGGGGAGCGUUCUGUAAGCCUGUGAAGGUGUGCUGUGAGGUAUGCUGGAGGUAUCAGAAGUGCGAAUGCUGACAUAAGUAACGAUAAAGCGGGUGAAAAGCCCGCUCGCCGGAAGACCAAGGGUUCCUGUCCAACGUUAAUCGGGGCAGGGUGAGUCGACCCCUAAGGCGAGGCCGAAAGGCGUAGUCGAUGGGAAACAGGUUAAUAUUCCUGUACUUGGUGUUACUGCGAAGGGGGGACGGAGAAGGCUAUGUUGGCCGGGCGACGGUUGUCCCGGUUUAAGCGUGUAGGCUGGUUUUCCAGGCAAAUCCGGAAAAUCAAGGCUGAGGCGUGAUGACGAGGCACUACGGUGCUGAAGCAACAAAUGCCCUGCUUCCAGGAAAAGCCUCUAAGCAUCAGGUAACAUCAAAUCGUACCCCAAACCGACACAGGUGGUCAGGUAGAGAAUACCAAGGCGCUUGAGAGAACUCGGGUGAAGGAACUAGGCAAAAUGGUGCCGUAACUUCGGGAGAAGGCACGCUGAUAUGUAGGUGAAGUCCCUUGCGGAUGGAGCUGAAAUCAGUCGAAGAUACCAGCUGGCUGCAACUGUUUAUUAAAAACACAGCACUGUGCAAACACGAAAGUGGACGUAUACGGUGUGACGCCUGCCCGGUGCCGGAAGGUUAAUUGAUGGGGUUAGCGGUAACGCGAAGCUCUUGAUCGAAGCCCCGGUAAACGGCGGCCGUAACUAUAACGGUCCUAAGGUAGCGAAAUUCCUUGUCGGGUAAGUUCCGACCUGCACGAAUGGCGUAAUGAUGGCCAGGCUGUCUCCACCCGAGACUCAGUGAAAUUGAACUCGCUGUGAAGAUGCAGUGUACCCGCGGCAAGACGGAAAGACCCCGUGAACCUUUACUAUAGCUUGACACUGAACAUUGAGCCUUGAUGUGUAGGAUAGGUGGGAGGCUUUGAAGUGUGGACGCCAGUCUGCAUGGAGCCGACCUUGAAAUACCACCCUUUAAUGUUUGAUGUUCUAACGUUGGCCCCUAAUCGGGGUUGCGGACAGUGUCUGGUGGGUAGUUUGACUGGGGCGGUCUCCUCCUAAAGAGUAACGGAGGAGCACGAAGGUUGGCUAAUCCUGGUCGGACAUCAGGAGGUUAGUGCAAUGGCAUAAGCCAGCUUGACUGCGAGCGUGACGGCGCGAGCAGGUGCGAAAGCAGGUCAUAGUGAUCCGGUGGUUCUGAAUGGAAGGGCCAUCGCUCAACGGAUAAAAGGUACUCCGGGGAUAACAGGCUGAUACCGCCCAAGAGUUCAUAUCGACGGCGGUGUUUGGCACCUCGAUGUCGGCUCAUCACAUCCUGGGGCUGAAGUAGGUCCCAAGGGUAUGGCUGUUCGCCAUUUAAAGUGGUACGCGAGCUGGGUUUAGAACGUCGUGAGACAGUUCGGUCCCUAUCUGCCGUGGGCGCUGGAGAACUGAGGGGGGCUGCUCCUAGUACGAGAGGACCGGAGUGGACGCAUCACUGGUGUUCGGGUUGUCAUGCCAAUGGCACUGCCCGGUAGCUAAAUGCGGAAGAGAUAAGUGCUGAAAGCAUCUAAGCACGAAACUUGCCCCGAGAUGAGUUCUCCCUGACCCUUUAAGGGUCCUGAAGGAACGUUGAAGACGACGACGUUGAUAGGCCGGGUGUGUAAGCGCAGCGAUGCGUUGAGCUAACCGGUACUAAUGAACCGUGAGGCUUAACCUU
rnacentral:rRNA from 1 species